AGCGUACACGGUGGAUGCCCUGGCAGUCAGAGGCGAUGAAGGACGUGCUAAUCUGCGAUAAGCGUCGGUAAGGUGAUAUGAACCGUUAUAACCGGCGAUUUCCGAAUGGGGAAACCCAGUGUGUUUCGACACACUAUCAUUAACUGAAUCCAUAGGUUAAUGAGGCGAACCGGGGGAACUGAAACAUCUAAGUACCCCGAGGAAAAGAAAUCAACCGAGAUUCCCCCAGUAGCGGCGAGCGAACGGGGAGCAGCCCAGAGCCUGAAUCAGUGUGUGUGUUAGUGGAAGCGUCUGGAAAGGCGCGCGAUACAGGGUGACAGCCCCGUACACAAAAAUGCACAUGCUGUGAGCUCGAUGAGUAGGGCGGGACACGUGGUAUCCUGUCUGAAUAUGGGGGGACCAUCCUCCAAGGCUAAAUACUCCUGACUGACCGAUAGUGAACCAGUACCGUGAGGGAAAGGCGAAAAGAACCCCGGCGAGGGGAGUGAAAAAGAACCUGAAACCGUGUACGUACAAGCAGUGGGAGCACGCUUAGGCGUGUGACUGCGUACCUUUUGUAUAAUGGGUCAGCGACUUAUAUUCUGUAGCAAGGUUAACCGAAUAGGGGAGCCGAAGGGAAACCGAGUCUUAACUGGGCGUUAAGUUGCAGGGUAUAGACCCGAAACCCGGUGAUCUAGCCAUGGGCAGGUUGAAGGUUGGGUAACACUAACUGGAGGACCGAACCGACUAAUGUUGAAAAAUUAGCGGAUGACUUGUGGCUGGGGGUGAAAGGCCAAUCAAACCGGGAGAUAGCUGGUUCUCCCCGAAAGCUAUUUAGGUAGCGCCUCGUGAACUCAUCUCCGGGGGUAGAGCACUGUUUCGGCAAGGGGGUCAUCCCGACUUACCAACCCGAUGCAAACUGCGAAUACCGGAGAAUGUUAUCACGGGAGACACACGGCGGGUGCUAACGUCCGUCGUGAAGAGGGAAACAACCCAGACCGCCAGCUAAGGUCCCAAAGUCAUGGUUAAGUGGGAAACGAUGUGGGAAGGCCCAGACAGCCAGGAUGUUGGCUUAGAAGCAGCCAUCAUUUAAAGAAAGCGUAAUAGCUCACUGGUCGAGUCGGCCUGCGCGGAAGAUGUAACGGGGCUAAACCAUGCACCGAAGCUGCGGCAGCGACGCUUAUGCGUUGUUGGGUAGGGGAGCGUUCUGUAAGCCUGCGAAGGUGUGCUGUGAGGCAUGCUGGAGGUAUCAGAAGUGCGAAUGCUGACAUAAGUAACGAUAAAGCGGGUGAAAAGCCCGCUCGCCGGAAGACCAAGGGUUCCUGUCCAACGUUAAUCGGGGCAGGGUGAGUCGACCCCUAAGGCGAGGCCGAAAGGCGUAGUCGAUGGGAAACAGGUUAAUAUUCCUGUACUUGGUGUUACUGCGAAGGGGGGACGGAGAAGGCUAUGUUGGCCGGGCGACGGUUGUCCCGGUUUAAGCGUGUAGGCUGGUUUUCCAGGCAAAUCCGGAAAAUCAAGGCUGAGGCGUGAUGACGAGGCACUACGGUGCUGAAGCAACAAAUGCCCUGCUUCCAGGAAAAGCCUCUAAGCAUCAGGUAACAUCAAAUCGUACCCCAAACCGACACAGGUGGUCAGGUAGAGAAUACCAAGGCGCUUGAGAGAACUCGGGUGAAGGAACUAGGCAAAAUGGUGCCGUAACUUCGGGAGAAGGCACGCUGAUAUGUAGGUGAAGUCCCUCGCGGAUGGAGCUGAAAUCAGUCGAAGAUACCAGCUGGCUGCAACUGUUUAUUAAAAACACAGCACUGUGCAAACACGAAAGUGGACGUAUACGGUGUGACGCCUGCCCGGUGCCGGAAGGUUAAUUGAUGGGGUUAGCGCAAGCGAAGCUCUUGAUCGAAGCCCCGGUAAACGGCGGCCGUAACUAUAACGGUCCUAAGGUAGCGAAAUUCCUUGUCGGGUAAGUUCCGACCUGCACGAAUGGCGUAAUGAUGGCCAGGCUGUCUCCACCCGAGACUCAGUGAAAUUGAACUCGCUGUGAAGAUGCAGUGUACCCGCGGCAAGACGGAAAGACCCCGUGAACCUUUACUAUAGCUUGACACUGAACAUUGAGCCUUGAUGUGUAGGAUAGGUGGGAGGCUUGGAAGUGUGGACGCCAGUCUGCAUGGAGCCGACCUUGAAAUACCACCCUUUAAUGUUUGAUGUUCUAACGUGGACCCGUAAUCCGGGUUGCGGACAGUGUCUGGUGGGUAGUUUGACUGGGGCGGUCUCCUCCUAAAGAGUAACGGAGGAGCACGAAGGUUGGCUAAUCCUGGUCGGACAUCAGGAGGUUAGUGCAAUGGCAUAAGCCAGCUUGACUGCGAGCGUGACGGCGCGAGCAGGUGCGAAAGCAGGUCAUAGUGAUCCGGUGGUUCUGAAUGGAAGGGCCAUCGCUCAACGGAUAAAAGGUACUCCGGGGAUAACAGGCUGAUACCGCCCAAGAGUUCAUAUCGACGGCGGUGUUUGGCACCUCGAUGUCGGCUCAUCACAUCCUGGGGCUGAAGUAGGUCCCAAGGGUAUGGCUGUUCGCCAUUUAAAGUGGUACGCGAGCUGGGUUUAGAACGUCGUGAGACAGUUCGGUCCCUAUCUGCCGUGGGCGCUGGAGAACUGAGGGGGGCUGCUCCUAGUACGAGAGGACCGGAGUGGACGCAUCACUGGUGUUCGGGUUGUCAUGCCAAUGGCACUGCCCGGUAGCUAAAUGCGGAAGAGAUAAGUGCUGAAAGCAUCUAAGCACGAAACUUGCCCCGAGAUGAGUUCUCCCUGACUCCUUGA
rnacentral:rRNA from 1 species